rnacentral:rRNA from 1 species
GACGAACGCUGGCGGCGUGCUUAACACAUGCAAGUCGAACGGUAAGGCCCUUCGGGGUACACGAGUGGCGAACGGGUGAGUAACACGUGGGUGAUCUACCCUGCACUUCGGGAUAAGCCUGGGAAACUGGGUCUAAUACCGGAUAGGACCACUGCCUGCAUGGGUGGUGGUGGAAAGCUUUUGCGGUGUGGGAUGGGCCCGCGGCCUAUCAGCUUUUUGGUGGGGUGAUGGCCUACCAAGGCGACGACGGGUAGCCGGCCUGAGAGGGUGACCGGCCACACUGGGACUGAGAUACGGCUCAGACUCCUACGGGAGGCAGCAGUGGGGAAUAUUGCACAAUGGGCGCAAGCCUGAUGCAGCGACGCCGCGUGAGGGAUGACGGCCUUCGGGUUGUAAACCUCUUUCAGCGCCGACGAAGCGCAAGUGACGGUAGGUGCAGAAGAAGGACCGGCCAACUACGUGCCAGCCGCCGCCGUAA